rnacentral:rRNA from 1 species
AACGAACGCUGGCGGCAUGCCUAACACAUGCAAGUCGAACGAGACCUUCGGGUCUAGUGGCGCACGGGUGCGUAACGCGUGGGAACCUGCCCUUAGGUUCGGAAUAACUCCCCGAAAGGGGUGCUAAUAACGGAUAAUGUCUUCGGACCAAAGAUUUAUCGCCUUUGGAUGGGCCCGCGUUGGAUUAGCUAGUUGGUAGGGUAAAAGCCUACCAAGGCGACGAUCCAUAGCUGGUCUGAGAGGAUGAUCAGCCACACUGGGACUGAGACACGGCCCAGACUCCUACGCGAGGCAGCAGUGGGGAAUAUUGGACAAUGGGCGAAAGCCUGAUCCAGCAAUGCCGCGUGAGUGAUGAAGGCCUUAGGGUUGUAAAGCUCUUUUACCCGGGAUGAUAAUGACAGUACCGGGAGAAUAAGCUCCGGCUAACUCCGUG